rnacentral:lncRNA from 1 species
UAGCAACCUCCUCCUGCCUUUGGGCAUUGGUGUUCCUGGUUCUUAAGCAUUUGGGCUUGAACUGGAGCUACACCACCAGCUUUCCUGGGUCUCCAGCUUGCAGUUAACAAAUGGUGGAACUUCUCAGCCUCCAUAAUCCGACAUGUGGCAGGCAAGUUAAUCUUCAGUGGAAUAUGCAAAUAGGAUUUCUGAAUUUGGCAUGCAAAUGAAUUUGAGAGCUUCUGGGAGCAUCUCUUCCAAGAUUCUGGUAAGCCUUUCUUCCUGGGCGAAACUUAGCAGAGGAAGGUAUAGAGAAGACCUAAGAAAGACCAAGGAGAAUUUGUGUCACUAAAAUUUGAAGCUUUGAUUCCGAAAUUUUAUUCAGCCUGAGUUGGUCAUUUGACUUUUACUGCUAUCAACUUGGGAGUUAAGGUGGUUAUGGUAUGGGGGUGGGUUUUAGGGCAAUAUGUAUGAUGAAGACUGAAAAUCAAGUUUGCAGAAAGAAAACAAAACAAAAUGAAAAUUAAAUAAAUUAUCAGGGAAGGCGAGAUGAGGGACUAAGAUGUGAAUAAGAGAGAAAAGACCAAUGUGAUUUCUAAUGGUUUUGCAGUUUUUGGUUCCAGUCCUCUGGGAAGCCUAGCGGUAUUUUCUGAUGAUAGUUUUCAUAAAAUAUUCAUCUAUGUUAUUUAAAAAGACUACUUUCUUUGGCCUCACAAGUAUAACUACAUGAUUAAUGUAAUAGUGAUGAUAUUAAUCUUAUAAUAAUAUGCUCUUUAUCUUUAUAAACAUGAUUCCCAAAUAAACUUUCUACCAUUUCAGUCUUAAAGAAGAGGAACAGUGCUGUUUAUUAAAAGGAUCAGACAAGGAGUAAAUGUGGAAUGAUCACUCUUCCCAGACCUAAUUGACUGCAGGAGGAACAGUCUGAAAUUGGGGAAAACAUCACACUACACCUAUACCUUAACUUCUCUCUGCAAACCUAAGCCCCAGAAAUAGGAUAUACAUUACCCUAUAUUGAAAUAAAAGCAAAAAUGAAGGUAUCUUUGCCCUACUCACAUUUGAGACUCUCAGAGGAGACUACCUUGAAGAAUGAUCCUGCUA